CAGAUCCUGAUGUGUACGCGAAGCUUAUGGUAUUCAACCUACAGUAUAAUUACGGGAUUGGCAAUAUUUCUAUGGAUGUCAGGCUUCACUUAGAUUCACUUUGUGGCAGAAGAAGGCUGAAGUAGGAUGCGACGAACCCACCUGCGAGAUGCAGGUAUGAAUUCUUAAGCGUGACGGCACGUUGGGUAUAUA
rnacentral:other from 1 species